ACUUUUAAAGGAUAACAGUCAAUCCACUGGUCUUAGGAG
rnacentral:tRNA from 1 species